GAGUAGGUGCCAGCACAAAGGCUGUU
rnacentral:piRNA from 1 species